rnacentral:rRNA from 1 species
AUUGAACGCUGGCGGCAGGCCUAACACAUGCAAGUCGAACGAGUCGCGGACGUGUGUGUAAGGUCUCGGCCACUGCCUGAUGGAGGGGGAUAACUACUGGAAACGGUUACUAAUACCGCAUACAAUCAGAUGUGCCCGGUUGGGAUUAGCUGGGUGUUGGGGUAUAGGCUCACUAAGGCGACGAUCCCUAGCUGUUCUGAGAGGAUGACCAGUCACACUGCAACUGAGACACGGUCCACACUCCUACGGGAGGCAGCAGUGGGGAAUAUUGCACAAUGGGGCCAAGCCUGAUGCAGCCAUGCCGCGUUUAUGAAGAAGGCCUUCGGAGUGUAAAGGACUUUCAGCGGGGAGGCGUUACCCGCAGAAGAAGCACCGGCUAACUCCGUGCCAGCCGCCGCGGUAAUAC